GACGAACGCUGGCGGCGUGCUUAACACAUGCAAGUCGAGCGGUAAGGCCCUUCGGGGUACACGAGCGGCGAACGGGUGAGUAACACGUGGGUGAUCUGCCCUGCACUUCGGGAUAAGCCU
rnacentral:rRNA from 1 species